rnacentral:rRNA from 1 species
CAGUCGCCACGGUAAUACGUAGGGUGCGAGCGUUAAUCGGAAUUACUGGGCGUAAAGCGUGCGCAGGCGGUUUUGUAAGACAGGCGUGAAAUCCCCGGGCUCAACCUGGGAAUGGCGCUUGUGACUGCAAAGCUAGAGUGCGGCAGAGGGGGAUGGAAUUCCGCGUGUAGCAGUGAAAUGCGUAGAUAUGCGGAGGAACACCGAUGGCGAAGGCAAUCCCCUGGGCCUGCACUGACGCUCAUGCACGAAAGCGUGGGGAGCAAACAGGAUUAGAUACCCCCGUAGUCCCUGUCUCUUAUAA